rnacentral:tRNA from 1 species
UGCAUCGGCCGGGAAUCGAACCCUGGCCGCCCGUGUGGCAGGCGAGCAUUCUACCACUGAACCACCGAUGC